AUCCUAGUGGUGUAAUGGUUAACAUGCGGCUCUCUCAAAGCCGAGCCCUGAGUUCGAUUCUCAGCUAGGGUG
rnacentral:tRNA from 1 species